rnacentral:rRNA from 1 species
UGCUCCGGGCGGUCUGCGUGGUAGAGCCCUCUCUCACCGGACCUAGGGUCCCCUGAGGAUACCAGCGUUGUCGCCCCCAAGAGUCCACAUCGACGGGGCGGUUGGGCACCUCGAUGUCGGCUCAUCACAUCCUGGGGCUGUAGUAGGUCCCAAGGGUUGGGCUGUUCGCCCAUUAAAGUGGUACGCGAGCUGGGUUCAGAACGUCGUGGGACAGUUCGGUCCCUAUCCGUCGCAGGCGUAGGAAAUUUGAGAAGACCUGUCCUUAGUACGAGAGGACCGGGAUGGACGUACCUCUGGUGUACCAGUUGUCCUGCCAAGGGCAUGGCUGGGUAGCUAUGUACGGAAUGGAUAAG